AAAAAAAAAAAAAAAAAAUUGCAGGUCCAUGACAACUUUGAUUUUUCUGAUGAUUCUGUAAAAUUUCCACAACUUAUGGCAGUAGUAAGUGUUGGCUCUGAUGCAUGCUUUAUUUAGAACCCUAUUCCUGCUAGAAAACGAAGGAACAAAAUUACAUAAUGAACUUUUAGGUCAUAUGAUGUUCAAAAGAGGAAUAAGACAUGCCGAUAGGACCCCUUUUGAUCAGGUUUGAGCCACAAUCAAACUUUUCCUAUGAGGAGGCGAGUACACAGCAUCAAAUACACUAUUAUUUUUUAUUAUCUUUCAUUCUUUUCAUUUCUUUUUUCCACCUAUGCAUCAAAGAUUGAUAUACUUUAUCUGUUCAGUUCAAAGAAAUCUUCUAACAUUACCAUAUUUCAUUUCAGUUUGUCAUCUGUGAUGCUGAAAAGUUAAGAUAGGGCAUAAGCAUAACCUUAUACAGAUAAUGCCAAAACAAAUUACUUCAGCCAAGUUUUGGAUUCCUGUCAAUUAGUUUCCGUCAAUUUCUCAUUUUUGUUCCUCGCAGUUGACAUUUGAACUUUGAAGGAGUUAGUCCUUAGUCUGUGCAUGUCUUUAUUUUCCGCUUUACUAAUAAAAUGAUUUAAUGUAUUUCAAUAGUUGCAGAAUCUUAAAGUUGAAA
rnacentral:misc_RNA from 1 species